ensembl:snRNA U1 U1 spliceosomal RNA
ACACUAUACCUGACAGGGGAUAUACCAUUAUCAUGAAGGUGGUUUUUCCAGGGUGAGGCUUAUCCAUUGCACUCAGGAUGUGCUGACCUCUGUGAUUUCCCCAAAUGUGUGAAAAUUGACUGUGUGAUUUGUGGUAGUGGGGGACUGCGUUCACUCUCCCCCCCA